rnacentral:rRNA from 1 species
UACAGGCUUAACACAUGCAAGUCGAGGGGCAGCAUGGUCUUAGCUUGCUAAGGCCGAUGGCGACCGGCGCACGGGUGAGUAACACGUAUCCAACCUGCCGUCUACUCUUGGACAGCCUUCUGAAAGGAAGAUUAAUACAAGAUGGCAUCAUGAGUCCACAUGUUCACAUGAUUAAAGGUAUUCCGGUAGACGAUGGGGAUGCGUUCCAUUAGAUAGUAGGCGGGGUAACGGCCCACCUAGUCUUCGAUGGAUAGGGGUUCUGAGAGGAAGGUCCCCCACAUUGGAACUGAGACACGGUCCAAACUCCUACGGGAGGCAGCAGUGAGGAAUAUUGGUCAAUGGGCGAGAGCCUGAACCAGCCAAGUAGCGUGAAGGAUGACUGCCCUAUGGGUUGUAAACUUCUUUUAUAAAGGAAUAAAGUCGGGUAUGUAUACCCGUUUGCAUGUACUUUAUGAAUAAGGAUCGGCUAACUCCGUGCCAGCAGCCGCGGUAAUACGGAGGAUCCGAGCGUUAUCCGGAUUUAUUGGGUUUAAAGGGAGCGUAGAUGGAUGUUUAAGUCAGUUGUGAAAGUUUGCGGCUCAACCGUAAAAUUGCAGUUGAUACUGGAUAUCUUGAGUGCAGUUGAGGCAGGCGGAAUUCGUGGUGUAGCGGUGAAAUGCUUAGAUAUCACGAAGAACUCCGAUUGCGAA